GGUCGAUUAGCUCAGUUGGUUAGAGCGUGGUGCUAAUACACAGUAGUGUACGCCAAGGUCGCGAGUUCGAGACUCGUAUUGACCA